rnacentral:rRNA from 1 species
UACGGGGGGGGCAAGCGUUGUUCGGAAUUAUUGGGCGUAAAGAGCGUGUAGGCGGUCCGGUAAGUCAGCUGUGAAAGUCAAGGGCUCAACCCUUGAAUGCCGGUUGAUACUGUCGGGCUAGAGUCCGGAAGAGGCGAGUGGAAUUCCCGGUGUAGCGGUGAAAUGCGCAGAUAUCAGGAGGAACACCGGUGGCGAAGGCGACAUCCUGGACCGGUAUUGACGCUGAGGCGCGAAAGCCAGGGGAGCAAACGGG